rnacentral:lncRNA from 13 species
ACUUGCUCAAUCCAAGGGGAGGAAAUUUAGGAAGAUAUAGGUGCAUCUUAUUAAGAGGGAAUGAAAACAAAAACUGAAAACUCAUCAGAAAUGAAGGUAAAAAGCUGGAGCAUCUUCCUUACUAGAGAACCAUGAUGUGAACACUCAGAGCUCUUUCUCCACUCUUUCUACCUCAAAGCCUACUGUGUGCAGUCAACACAGGAAAUUGACUCUUUGGGUGUGGCAACUCUGUGGUAGAGACAAUGGAAUCACAGAAAAGAAAAGGGAGGCAAGUCCUGAAUCACACACCACAUGACUGGAACCAAUAGAACGAUGCAAAAAUAAAAGAUGAUGAAUGGCACUGUUUUCCCA